rnacentral:rRNA from 1 species
UACGGGGGGGGCAAGCGUUGUUCGGAAUUACUGGGCGUAAAGGGCUCGUAGGCGGCCAACUAAGUCAUAGUGAAAUCCCUCGGCUUAACCGGGGAACUGCGUCUGAUACUGGAUGGCUUGAGUUCGGGAGAGGGAUGCGGAAUUCCAGGUGUAGCGGUGAAAUGCGUAGAUAUCUGGAGGAACACCGGUGGCGAAGGCGGCAUCCUGGACCGAUACUGACGCUGAGGAGCGAAGCCAGGGAGCAAAGCGGG